rnacentral:antisense_RNA from 1 species
CUUCAGCGAGCCCAGCCAGAGCGGCCGGUCCGCCGGGCGGCCCUGGCCGUAGGUGGCCAGCAGUGCCUGUGCCUC